rnacentral:rRNA from 1 species
GUUCCCGGGCCUUGUACACACCGCCCGUCACACCAUGGGAGUUUGUUGCACCAGAAGCAGGUAGCUUAACCGCGAGGAGGGCGCUUGCCACGGUGUGGCCGAUGACUGGGGUGAAGUCGUAACAAGGUAGCCGUAUCGGAAGGUGCGGCUGGAUCACCUCCUUU